UACGUAGGGGGCAAGCGUUAUCCGGAUUUAUUGGGUGUAAAGGGCGUGUAGGCGGGAAAGCAAGUCAGAUGUGAAAACUCAGGGCUCAACCCUGAGCCUGCAUUUGAAACUGUUUUUCUUGAGUGCUGGAGAGGCAAUCGGAAUUCCGUGUGUAGCGGUGAAAUGCAUAGAUAUCACGCAGAACUCCGAUUGCGAAGGCAGCUUACCAGUCUGCGACUGACGCUCAGGCACGAAAGUGUGGGUAUCGAACAGG
rnacentral:rRNA from 1 species